rnacentral:rRNA from 1 species
AAUUUUCGGCACUGGGGGCAACCCUGACCGAGCGACGCCGCGUGAGUGAAGAAGGUCUUCGCAUUGUAAAGCUCUGUUGUAAGGGAAGAACCGUACCAGUCGGGCAUGACUGGUACCUGACGGUACCUUACCAGCAAGCCCCGGCUAACUACGCUCCUGCAGCCGCGGUAAUACGUCAGUGGCAAGCGUUAUCCGGAAUUAUUGGGCGUAAAGGGAGCGCAGGCGGCUUAUUAAGUCUGAGGUUAAAGUUCGGGGCUCAACCCCGUGAUGCCUUAGAAACUGGUAGGCUAGAGUGCAGGAGAGGGGAGGGGAAUUCCAUGUGGAGCGGUAAAAUGCGUAGAUAUAUGGAGGAACACCAGUGGCGAAGGCGGCUCACUGGCCUGUAACUGACGCUGAGGCUCGAAAGCGUGGGGAGCAAAG